rnacentral:rRNA from 1 species
CGGCGGCCACCGCUAUAGGAAUUCGAUUAAGACAUGCGAGUCGUGAGUCGUAAUGGACUCGGCGGACUGCUCAGUAACACGUGGAUAACGUGCCCUUAAGAGGAGGAUAAUCUCGGGAAACUGAGGAUAAUACUCCAUAGUCCAUGGAAUCUGGAAUGAUCCAUGGAUGAAAGUUCCGGCGCUUAAGGAUCGGUCUGCGGCCUAUCAGGUUGUAGUGGGUGUAACGUACCUACUAGCCGAUGACGGGUAUGGGCCUUGAGAGAGGGAGCCCAGAGUUGGAUUCUGAGACACGAAUCCAGGCCCUACGGGGCGCAGCAGUCGCGAAAACUUCACAAUGGGGGCAACCCCGAUGAGGGAAUUCCUAAUGCUAGCACAUUUGUGUUAGCUUUUCUUUAGCGUAGAUAACUAGAGGAAUAAGGGCUGG